GACGAACGCUGGCGGCGUGCCUAAUACAUGCAAGUAGAACGCUGAAGGAGGAGCUUGCUUCUCUGGAUGAGUUGCGAACGGGUGAGUAACGCGUAGGUAACCUGCCUGGUAGCGGGGGAUAACUAUUGGAAACGAUAGCUAAUACCGCAUAAGAGUAGAUGUUGCAUGACAUUUGCUUAAAAGGUGCAAUUGCAUCACUACCAGAUGGACCUGCGUUGUAUUAGCUAGUUGGUGAGGUAACGGCUCACCAAGGCGACGAUACAUAGCCGACCUGAGAGGGUGAUCGGCCACACUGGGACUGAGACACGGCCCAGACGCCUACGGGAGGCAGCAGUAGGGAAUCUUCGGCAAUGGACGGAAGUCUGACCGAGCAACGCCGCGUGAGUGAAGAAGGUUGUCGGAUCGUAAAGCUCUGUUGUAAGAGAAGAACGAGUGUGAGAGUGGAAAGUUCACACUGUGACGGUAUCUUACCAGAAAGGGACGGCUAACUACGUG
rnacentral:rRNA from 1 species